CUCUGCUGCUCCAGCUCCAGCCGUGGCCUCCUUCUCAGCUCCAGCCGUGGCCUCCUUCUCAGCUCCAGCCGUGGCCUCCUCUGCUGCUCCAGCUCCAGCCGUGGCCUCCUCUGCUGCUCCAGCUCCAGCCGUGGCCUCCUUCUCAGCUCCAGUUGUGGCCUCCUCUCCUACUCCAGCUCCAGCCGUGCCCUCUUCUGCUGCUCCAGCCAUGGCCUCCUUCUCAGCUCCAGCCGUGGCCUCCUCUGCUGCUCCAGCUCCAGCCGUGGCCUCCUUCUCAGCUCCAGUUGUGGCCUCCUCUCCUACUCCAGCUCCAGCCGUGCCCUCUUCUGCUGCUCCAGCCAUGGCCUCCUUCUCAGCUCCAGCCGUGGCCUCCUCUGCUGCUCCAGCCGUGGCCUCCUUCUCAGCUCCAACCGUGGCCUCCUCUGCUGCUCCAGCUCCAGCCGUGGCCUCCUUCUCAGCUCCAGCCGUGGCCUCCUCUGCUGCUCCAGCUCCAGCCGUGGCCUCCUCUGCUGCUCCAGCUCCAGCCGUGGCCUCCUUCUCAGCUCCAGUUGUGGCCUCCUCUCCUAGUCCAGCUCCAGCCGUGACCUCUUCUGCUGCUCCAGCCAUGGCCUCCUUCUCAGCUCCAGCCGUGGCCUCCUCUGCUGCUCCAGCCGUGGCCUCCUUCUCAGCUCCAGCCGUGGCCUCCUCUGCUGCUCCAGCUCCAGCUGUGGCCUCCUUCUCAGCUCCAGCCGUGGCCUCCUCUCCUACUCCAGCUCCAGCCGUGGCCUCUUCUGCUGCUCCAGCCAUGGCCUCCUUCUCAGCUCCAGCCGUGGCCUCCUCUGCUGCUCCAGCCGUGGCCUCCUUCUCAGCUCCAGCCGUGGCCUCCUCUGCUGCUCCAGCUCCAGCUGUGGCCUCCUUCUCAGCUCCAGCCGUGGCCUCCUCUCCUACUCCAGCUCCAACCGUGCCCUCUUCUGCUGCUCCAGCCAUGGCCUCCUUCUCAGCUCCAGCCAUGGCCUCCUCUGCUGCUCCAGCUCCAGCUCCAGCUGUGGCCUUCUUCUCAGCUCCAGCCAUGGCCUCCUCUGCUGCUCCAGCUCCAGCUCCAGCCGUGGCCUCCUCUGCUGCUUCAGCUCCAGCCGUCUCCUCCUCUCCAGAAGUUUCAGUGGCAUUUUCUUUACUCAUUCGAUACACAGAUAUUUAUAUUUCAGAUGAAGAUGAGUAUGAGUAA
rnacentral:lncRNA from 1 species